rnacentral:rRNA from 1 species
AUACGGAGGGUGCAAGCGUUAUUCGGAAUUACUGGGCGUAAAGCGCGCGUAGGCGGAUUGAUCAGUCAGGGGUGAAAUCCCGGAGCUUAACUCCGGAACUGCCUUUGAUACUGUCAAUCUUGAGUUCGAGAGAGGUGAGUGGAAUUCCUAGUGUAGAGGUGAAAUUCGUAGAUAUUAGGAAGAACACCAGUGGCGAAGGCGGCUCACUGGCCCGAUACUGACGCUGAGGCGCGAAAGCGUGGGGAGCAAACAGGAUUAGAAACCCUAGUAGUCC